rnacentral:rRNA from 1 species
UACGUAGGGUCCGAGCGUUGUCCGGAAUUACUGGGCGUAAAGAGCUCGUAGGUGGUUUGUCGCGUUGUUCGUGAAAACUCACAGCUCAACUGUGGGCGUGCGGGCGAUACGGGCAGACUGGAGUACUGCAGGGGAGACUGGAAUUCCUGGUGUAGCGGUGGAAUGCGCAGAUAUCAGGAGGAACACCGGUGGCGAAGGCGGGUCUCUGGGCAAUAACUGACGCUGAGGAGCGAAAGCGUGGGGAGCGAACAGG